rnacentral:lncRNA from 1 species
GUCUCAUUACGUUGUGCAGGCGAGUCUCUAACUCAGCUCAAGCGAUCUUUCUGCCUCAGCUUCCUAAAGUCCUGGGAUUACAAGCACAAGCCACUACGCCUGGCCUGCUUUGUGAUUUUUGAAUCAACAGCUUCACCCUCUGAACUUCCAUUUUCUUAGUUAUAAAUUGGAGACAAUUACUUUUUGUUGUUUAAAACAGAAUUCCGAUCAUGUUGCUCUACUACCUAAAAUCCUGCAUGGCUUCUCAUUGCUCAGAAUAAAAUCCCAUUGAAACCUACACUUUGAAUGAUUACCUGAAUUGCCCUCUUACCCUUUAUUUUCAUUUAUUCAUUUAUUGAUUUAACAAUUAUUUAUGUGUAUGUUCUAGACCAGGCACUGUUGAUAGAUCAUUGAACCAAGCUAAGUUACUGCCACCUUACUUGACAGAAAAGUAUGCAAUAAAUACGUAGACAAAUUAAAAUAUACUACAAUGUUAGGUGCCAUGGUUCACUCAUGAAAAUAUCAAGCAGAUUGAGGUAGAGAGAGCUACUUUAGGCGGAGUGGCCAGGGAGGCGUCCCUAUAGAACGCCUCAAAUGUCAAAAUGACAUUUGAGGGGCAUCUGCAGGAGGUAAGGAGGUGAGUGAGCCGUGUCACUAUGAGAAACAGUGUUCCUGGCAAGAGAGCAGAAGAUCAAAGGCCCAGCAGCAGAGGUAUGGCUGGCAUGUUGCCGUACUUACCCGACCAAACAUCUGAUGGUACAACCUGUCAUUGUCGUCCCUACACCUGAUCGCCUGAUCAGCCCAAUGCUAUUAGAGGAACACAUGCCACCAGGCCGACUGUGACACUGUAGCCUAUUGUUUCAUCUCCCAAUUGGGUUCUCAGAACACCUUCUAUUGUUCUUAGCUCCCUCUCUCACUUGCUUGGCGGUUGUUCCAAACAUUCACACCUCACUUAAGCCAAAAAUAAGAACAACAAAAGCCACAAUGUUUUCUCAUAUUUUCUAUGGUUCAGGCAAUAUGCUAAGUUGUUUUUCCCAUACAUUUAUCAUAUUUAAUCUUUACCUCAAACGUAUAGGUUAAGUACUGUAAUUUUAUAGAUGAGAAAACUGAAACUUAGAGAGGUGAAGCAACUUGACUGUAGAUCCCACCAGUGACUGCUGGAGCUGAGGGUCACACCAGAGCAGGGGCUGUGCCGACCUAAUCCGCAUCCCAACCCCAUCCCCAUCAGCAAACUGUCUCAUGUCAUCCCCUACCCUCCUUGCUCAGAAAACCUGUCAGCAUGAAAGCCUUUAGAUUGCUUACAUAGUUACCAAAUUGAAUCAACUCUGAGACUAUUCAUUUUAAGAAGCACCAUUAUUUCAUGUAACACCAAGAGGUAAAUGCUGCAGUUACACUAUAAAACAAUGCUAAGACCAUUUCUAUAAAACAGAUGCUUCAAAGUGAAAAUAAACUCUGUUCAACAAUUGAUGGACUUUAAAUACAGUACAUCCAUAGCCAUCAAGGCCUUUUUCUUCCUGUGUCAAAAGGUAGGAUGUCCCUCCUCAAGACUAAAAUCCUCUUCCUAUGUUCUUUAUUCUUUCUUUUCCUUGACCUGCUUUUCCUUGAUUUUUUUCUUUCUCUCCAUUUGUUUUCAACUCUACUUUCCUAAGAAUGAAAACAUCUUCAGGUCUCUUAUCCUGAAAAUCAUGUGCUUGACUCAUCCUACAUCUCCUCUAGCAAUUAUUCUAUUUUAAGUUUUCCCUUGUUAUUCCUUCUUUCUUUCUGUCUGGUAUUUAUCUUGAGACCUAUAAAGGAUUUUACAAAGACAGCCUUGGUCCUAAUUAUAUUAGAUAUUUUGGUCCCAAUUAUAAAGCCUAACAUUUGUUUACAGCAUCUUUGUUGAGGGCAUAUGUUGUAUUUGUUUCUUCCCAGCAAACCUUUCAUUGGAGAACAGUCUUCCCCCACACCAUCCCAUAGAAAUACUGUUCACUAUAUCUGGUUCAGGAGGACUGACUCUCCCAACUCCUUUCUCCAGGAGUGGAUACAUGAUCCAGGACUGGCCAGAAUUCUACA